rnacentral:piRNA from 1 species
UGAUAUUAAAGUUCUUUGUAGAG